UCGGAGGAAGGUGGGAUGACGUCAAAUCAUCAUGCCCUUAUGACCUGGGCUACACACGUGCUACAAUGGGCGGUACAAAGGGUCGCGAACCGCGAGGGGGAGCCAAUCCCAAAAAGCCGCUCUCAGUUCGGAUUGCAGGCUGCAACUCGCCUGCAUGAAGCCGGAAUCGCUAGUAAUCGCGGAUCAGCAUGCCGCGGUGAAUACCGUUCCCGGGCCUU
rnacentral:rRNA from 1 species